CCUACGGGAGGCAGCAGUGAGGAAUAUUGGUCAAUGGACGAGCGUCUGAACCAGCCAAGUAGCGUGAAGGAUGACUGCCCUAUGGGUUGUAAACUUCUUUUAUAUGGGAAUAAAAUGUUCCACGUGUGGGAUUUUGUAUGUACCAUAUGAAUAAGGAUCGGCUAACUCCGUGCCAGCAGCCGCGGUAAUACGGAGGAUCCGAGCGUUAUCCGGAUUUAUUGGGUUUAAAGGGAGCGUAGGUGGAUUGUUAAGUCAGUUGUGAAAGUUUGCGGCGCAACCGUAAAAUUGCAGUUGAAACUGGCAGUCUUGAGUACAGUAGAGGUGGGCGGAAUUCGUGGUGUAGCGGUGAAAUGCUUAGAUAUCACGAAGAACUCCGAUGGCGAAGGCAGUUCACUGGACUGCAACUGACACUGAGGCUCGAAAGUGUGGGUAUCAAACAGGAUUAGAUACCCUUGUAGUC
rnacentral:rRNA from 1 species